CCCAACACCCUUUCGCGUCUCCGCCCGAAACCCUCCUCCGUCGACACAAAUAGAAACCAAGCCAACCCUUGCGCAACAAAACUAAAUCCAAGCUAUGCACGACGAAAAAUUGUACCAGUAUGGUUCUAAUUACAUCACUUCUAGCUCUUAUAUCCAGUAGAAACCUUAAUCGAAUCCUUUGUGGUGAAAUGGCGCCACCAACAAAGUAGCUCUUGGACAGCAGCUCGUAAAACAUCCUACUUUAUCAGGCUGAACUUGAGGCUGUGAAGGCCGAAUAUGCUAAUGUUCAGCUUGAAUGUAAUGCUGCUGAUGAACGCUCGAAGCUUUUGGCAUCUGAAGUGAUUGGUUUGGAAGAGAAGGCACUUCGGCUGAGAUCUAAUGAACUUUAAUUGGAGAAGGAGUUGGAAAAGAGAGAAGCUGAAGUUUCUUCUUUCAAAAAGAAAAUCGUUAGCCCUGAAAAAGAACGUCAAGAUUUGCAAUCAACUGUUGAUGCAUUACAAGAAGAGAAGAAGCUAUUGCUGUCAAAACUACGAAAAGCUUCUACUGGUGGCAUGUUUGGUGAUACUAGCAGGACUUCACCUAAUAAAAUAGAUGUCUCAACGUCAACAGAGGAUCUUG